AUAGUGAAUAUUACACUUAGAACAGAUGCACAUCAUUCAGUCAGAUGAAGUCACGUAAAAUUACAGAGUUUGAAUGCUAUAUCACAUUCAAUUAGGAUGCGAUAUUGAUUCUCGGCAACACUGUCCAGAUUCGUUCUUAUUUGAUCGAUCGCCAUGUUUGUUUUUAAGUCGCGAGUGAAAACUGUCGUUCCGGAUUACAUUUUAGGAAAACUCGAAAAAACAAUUCGAUAUUCCUACCAACUUGCAAGGUAAAACAAUCAUGGGCCUGCCAUACAAACUACUACACCUGCGCUCUGCAGUGUAUUGUGGCCACAAACAUCCGAUUUGGAGCCUGCCGGAAAGUCCCACAGUGCUGUAUCUGAUUCGAGAUCUGAUUACCGGCACGCAAGACACGGUUUCAGUUCACGGCACCAUUUCCGAAUCAUCGACUGUCAACAGACGAUUCGUUGAGUUUUUCAGCCCGAAAAGUGAGUGGGUAAUCGAUCUUGCUGUGAGUCAUAAGCUCACCGAUUUAAGAGACCUCACGUCUGGCGUAAACCUCUGUCCCUAAGAGCUCCAACGGUCGUCACUUUACAUCGGCCUGAUCAGACGGAUCGGUCCGCAUCUGAAGUGCUGUCUUCGGUCUCUUGCACUUCCACGUCGUUGUCUUCCAAAUGGGACUGAAGUAGAACCUAGCAUCUUAGUGGUACCACCGCCACUAAUCACGAUAAAAAAAACCAGCAGUUCCUCAGCGACGGGUCGUCCAAACGAAUUUUUUUGUUGGCUGUCAUAUUCGCCGAAUGGGAAACUGCUCCAGCGAAGCAGAGCUAAGUAUAAUUUUACCUUUGUUCGUUUGUUUUGUACUCUGUCCUUUAUUUAGAAGAUUAAUAUUAAUAGCCUAUUUAGAUUACGCCAUUUAUUAAUGAUUAUAAUAAGGAGUUACUUAAUGCCAAUGCUGUGCAUUCAAUUUUCUUUCUCCAAUAACACGAUAUUUAUUAUAAUAAAUCGCGUAAUCUGAACAGAUUGAGAUUAGAAUACCCUUCUCUCGGAUAAGUGUUGUGGCCGCGAUUGAAACCCAAGUCAUCUUGUCGUGGUAGUAUCACAGGUUGUCUAUUUUUUAAUUGUAUUGUAAUUUUUAUUGCAAACGAUAACCGGUUAGUUUGCACUUAAUUUCGAGUCAAGGAAGCGAUUACAUAUCUGGCCGCGUCAUACAUAAUCAGGCAUUACGCGACGUUUUGGCAUUCCAAAGGAAAUGCUCCUGGAAUUUAAAAGGAAUUCAUUUGUUUAGCUUACAUCUAAACAGAUAACAUUGAAUCAACAAUUUGACGACACAAUACAUGGUUCGAGGUCAAAUAUCUCCAUCACUCCAUCCUUGGUUGCUCCCCACCCCGUUUUGUACCUGAUCAGUCCAUCUCGCUCGCUGCGCUCCACGCCUUCUUGUACGUAACCGGUAGGAAGCAAACACCAUAUUUGCAGGGUUGCUAUCCGACAUUCUUGCAACAUGCCCUGCCCAUCGUACCCUUCCAGAAGAAUCUGAAGUCAAAAAAGAUUCACACUCGCACCAAAUGUAUCAGAACACUCAUAAGACCGGUGGUCCUUUACGGCAGUGAUCCUGAGCGUUUUUCCUUAAUUUGCUCCUCAGGCAAUACAAAUAAGCCUUUUUCCUACACAUAUAGCUGCUAAGGGUAUUAAAACGUAAUCGGUCUUAAAAUCACUCCGUAUGACAUGAUCAAAGCCAAAAAAGGUGUGGGCCAAAAGAUAUUUUAGUUACUAGAUGAAGAUUGUCGCUUCGGUUCCCUUUGUUCUGCUGUCCGGAACAUGUUGGGUGCCAAACUGUCAAAUCGUAUGGAUAUUCCUUCUUUGACAUUUAGCUCUCCUAUCCUCGCCAGCAAAAGAUGUUCCGGACAGCGACAAUCUUUAUCUGGUAACUAAAAAAUAUUUUUGUGGGCCGCAUUAACAUUUUGCUUCGAUCGAUUCGUAGGCUUAUUUUUAUUGAGUGUGAAACAAAUUAAGGAAAAAUGCUCAGAAUGCUGGGGAUCACUGAAGUAGAGGACCACCGGUCUUAUGAGCGUUCUGAACAUGAUACAUUUGGCGCGGGUGUGAAACUUUUUUGACAGCUGUUUUUUCUGGAGCCCGUAGAAGGCCCAAAGAUCCAAGGUAGAUGAAUUUCUCGCCCACCUCGAAGGUAUUUCCGUCUAUCGUAAAACUGCUUCCCAGGUCUUCGAAGCAUUCUACACCUGUCCAACUAACCAUUUCUGCCACCUUUUUAAAUGUUCGGCUGACAAUGUCCAUAUCAUUCGCGAAACAAAUAAAUUGGCUGUUACACCCGGCUUUCCGCAUGACACCUUGUAGCGCAAUAUUGAACAACAGGUACGAAAGUCUCCGGUCGGAUUCGAACGAACUGCCCGAAAUUUUUUCACUCGGUCUAUACUAUGGUAUGCCGCUUUGGAAUCGAUAAACAGCUGGUGCGUUGGGACCUAAUAUUCACGGCAUUUUCGAAGGAUUUACCUUACAGAAAAAUCUGGUCCGCCGUCGAGCGGCCGUCAACUAGGCCGGCUUGAUAACAUCUCACGAACUUGUUCAAUAUUGGUGAUAGACGGCGGAAGAUGAUCUAGGAUAUCACUUUGUAGGCGGUAUUUCGCUUGGAAGUUCUCACACUCCAGUUUGUCGCUUUUCUUGUAGAUGGGGCAUAUGACCUUUUCCUUCAACUUCUGUUUCCCAGAUUCUAACUACUAGGCACCUAGGAGGAAUCCAUCUAGGACUCCAAAAACAAUCAUACUGAAAUUCGAAUAUGUUUUGGAAGAUUUAUUAAUUACGCAAAAAUUGGG